rnacentral:misc_RNA from 1 species
AAAAAUACAAAAUCUUAAAAUUUCAACAAUAAGCAUACAAGUGUAUAAAAUCCAACAAUUUUUAACAGUUAGACAUCAUAAAACCUUACAACUCUUUUAAUCCAACAAAACUCAGUUCUUGAACAUUCAAACAAAACCCAACAAGGUGACCCAACUUUGCCCAGAAAUAAUGGCCGACAAGGUUUUGAUGGAGAUAAUAGAAAAUUUUAAUCCAUUGAUGGAGAAGUAAAAGAGAUGGUUGAAUGGAGACAAACCAAAUGUUGAAGUGUUGAAUCUACCCAGAAACAUCGAAUUUGUAUGUGUUGAAUCUCGAGCUUGAAGACGUGAAAUGGGGAACACAAAUAAAGAUGUGUUUGAGGAUGGAGGUUGAAGAUACGAAAGACUUGCAGAGUAAAGGGAAUCAUCUUCAAUGACUUAAGAAGAGAAUAGAAGCAAUUUGAGAAUAGAGGCCAUUCAAGAAGAGAAACAGAGGAACCAUUCUUUUAUCCCUCGAAACUAGGCUAAAAUGAAAUAUUUACCAAAACUACAAAUGUCGCUACCAGAGCCGCUAACCAUCAUCAGAAGUAGAGAGAGGUUGACCAAAGAAAAGAGAGAAAAGAUGUCUAAGUGGUACGAUACGUGGCCCAUCUUCUUCAAGCGAAAGUUCAAUAGGAACUGGCUGUUCCUGGUCGGCUUUGCCGUAAU